rnacentral:rRNA from 1 species
CAAACAGGAUUAGAUACCCUGGUAGUCCACGCCCUAAACGAUGUACACUAGUUGUUGCUAUACUAGAUAUGGCAGUAAUGCAGUUAACACUUUAAGUGUACCGCCUGGGGAGUACGGUCGCAAGAUUAAAACUCAAAGGAAUAGACGGGGACCCGCACAAGCGGUGGAGCGUGUGGUUUAAUUCGACGAUACGCGAAAGACCUUACCUGGCCUUGACAUAGUAGGAACUUUCUAGAGAUAGAUUGGUGCUAGCUUGCUAGAACCUAUAUACAGGUGCUGCACGGCUGUCGUCAGCUCGUGUCGUGAGAUGUUGGGUUAAGUCCCGCAACGAGCGCAACCCACGUGAUUAGUUGCUAACGGUUCGGCCGAGAACUCUAAUCAGACUGCCUUCGUAAGGAGGAGGAAGGUGUGGACGACGUCAAGUCAUCAUGGCCCUUACGGCCAGGGCUACACACGUGCUACAAUGGGAUAUACAAAGAGCCGCAAUACCGCGAGGUGGAGCAAAUCUAGAAAAUAUCUCUCAGUUCGGAUUGUUCUCUGCAACUCGAGAACAUGAAGUUGGAAUCGCUAGUAAUCGUGGAUCAGCAUUGCCACGGUGAAUACGUUCCCGGGUCUUGUACUCACCGCCCGUCACACCAUGGGAGUUGAUUUCAUUCGAAGCGGGGAUGCUAAAGUAGCUACCUUCCACAAUGGGAUUAGCGACUGGGGUGAAGUGGUAACAAGGUAACCCAAGG